rnacentral:rRNA from 1 species
UACAUGGGGUGCAAACGUUGCUCGGAAUUACUGGGCGUAAAGCGUGCGUAGUCGGUUAUUUAAGUCGGGUGUGAAAGCCCCGGGCUCAACCUGGGAAUUGCAUUCGAUACUGGAUAGCUAGAGUUCGGCAGAGGGAAGCGGAAUUCCGGUGUAGCGGUGAAAUGCGUAGAUAUCGGAAGGAACAUCAGUGGCGAAAGCGGCUUCCUGGACCAGAACUGACGAUCAGGCACGAAAGCGUGGGAGCAAACAGG